rnacentral:misc_RNA from 1 species
GAUGAAGAACGCAGCGAAAUGCGAUAAGUAAUGUGAAUUGCAGAAUUCAGUGAAUCAUCGAAUCUUUGAACGCACAUUGCGCCCCCUGGUAUUCCGGGGGGCAUGCCUGUCCGAGCGUCAUUACAACCCUCAAGCUCAGCUUGGUGUUGGGCCCCGCCGCCCCGGCGGGCCCUAAAGUCAGUGGCGGUGCCGUCCGGCUCCGAGCGUAGUAAUUCUUCUCGCUCUGGAGGUCCGGUCGUGUGCUCGCCAGCAACCCCCAAUUUUUUUCAGGUUGACCUCGGAUCAGGUAGGGAUACCCGCUGAACUUAAGCAUAUCAAUAAGCGGAGAA